GGUAAAAAAAAAGCUCCUUGAGAGAAAUGGUGUUUUCUGCAAUUAAGCAGGUACAGUGCUCCAUAGUUAAAUCUCAAUCAAAGUACACUCCGUACAAAGUAUGUCCCCCCUUAAAGAAUCCCUAGUCAUAUUUUUCUAUUCCUGUGUCCCUACAAUCUUGGAGCGAGCAAGCAUGGGGUCAGUCAUAUAUAAUUGUCGCCUUUCGAAACCCUAGGAUCAAUAGCACCGUUACCUGAUACAAGGCUUGAGCAAGGAGAUUCCUCCACAUCACUCCAGUUAUCAGUGGUUUAGUUCGUCCAAUUGGUUUCUUGUCCAUUAGAUCGCUACUGGGUCGUUCAGUUGCCAAAGCUAAGGCCCCCAGAGUAUCCAUUAUGAGAUUGACCCACAGAAGUUGGACUGCUGUCAGAGGGACUUCUCCAGAUGAAGCAGCAGCAACAAAGUUGAUAACAAGGGCAGCAACAUUUACUGGCAGGAGCAUCAUUUGUUCCAUCACCUGUUACCGCUACAACAUGGCCUUUCUGCUUCAAGCAUUCAACCAUCAAAAGCUUGUCAAAUGGUGAAGACCUUGCCAUCACUCGUAUUUUUUCAACAAUCUCCAUUCUCUCUUCUUGUGAAUAAUUCCUGAAUGCCGGUCCUUCAAUAACUGCAAUGUUCAGGUCUUCACCUGGUUGGAGUAUUCCACAUUCAAAAGCUAUUGAUUUAGCUGUAAACACAUUGUCCCCAGUAAUCAUUUUGAUGCUAACACCAGCAGCCCUGCAAGAUUCUACUGCCCCUUUAACACCAGGCCUACAUGGGUCCUUUAGACCCACCAGACCCAGUAAGGUGCAAUUUUUCCACUUUUUACGUAAUAAGUGGAGCACAUAGCUAGAAUCAUCUCAGCAGCACCUUUCCAAUGUGUGUGAACUUUUCCCGUACUAUUUUUUGUUACUAGUACCCCACUUCUUUUCUUUUGUGAAUUGAAAACUUCAACAUGGAGGAUUUGAUACUUUUGCUUUAAUUCAUUAAAGUUCACUAGUAAACUGGUCAGGG